UACAGAGGGUGCGAGCGUUUGUCCGGAAUUAUUGGGCGUAAAGCGCGCGCAGGCGGUCCUUUAAGUCUGAUGUGAAAGCCCACGGCUCAACCGUGGAGGGUCAUUGGAAACUGGGGGACUUGAGUGCAGGAGAGAAGAGUGGAAUUCCACGUGUAGCGGUGAAAUGCGUAGAGAUGUGGAGGAACACCAGUGGCGAAGGCGACUCUUUGGCCUGUAACUGACGCUGAGGCGCGAAAGCGUGGGGAGCAAACAGG
rnacentral:rRNA from 1 species